ACUGUUGAUGCCAGUGACCUCACAGGUUGGCCAGGCAUGUCUGUAGGCCUAUACCAAAAGAGGAAUAACUUUGCCUUGAGGUGGACCACCCACCUGCAGACAAUGCCUCCUACAUUGCUGAAACGGAUCAUUCCCUGACCGCUGCUUCUGAAAUUCUUGCCAGCCUGAUGGGGGAAUGGCAGCCAGUCCAAAGUUUCAGCAGGAUGGCUGUGUCCCUUACGGUGUCGGUGGAGGUCUUCACCAUCAC